GAGCUCAAAUUUGAAAUCUGGUGGCCUCAGGUCAUCCGAGUUGUAAUCUAUAGAAGUGUUUUCCGUGCUGGCCCAUGUACAAGUCCCUUGGAACAGGGCGUCAUAGAGGGUGAGAAUCCCGUCCUUGACAUGGACUACCAGUGCUCUGUGAUACACUUUCAACGAGUCGAGUUGUUUGGGAAUGCAGCUCAAAAUGGGUGGUAAAUUCCAUCUAAAGCUAAAUAUUGGCGAGAGACCGAUAGCGAACAAGUACCGUGAGGGAAAGAUGAAAAGCACUUUGGAAAGAGAGUUAAACAGUAUGUGAAAUUGUUGAAAGGGAAACGAUUGAAGUCAGUCGUGCUCAAUGGACUCAGCCGUUCUGCGGUGUAUUUCCAUUGGGUGGGGUCAACAUCAGUUUUGAUCGCUGGAUAAAGGCAGGAGGAAUGUAGCACCCCCGGGUGAACUUAUAGCCUCUUGUCACAUACAGUGGUUGGGACUGAGGAACGCAGCAUGCCUUUAUGGCCGGGAUUCGUCCACGUACAUGCUUAGGAUGUUGACAUAAUGGCUUUAAACGACCCGUCU
rnacentral:rRNA from 1 species